rnacentral:rRNA from 1 species
GUCUGCAACUCGACUACAUGAAGCUGGAAUCGGCUAGUAAUCGCAGAUCAGAAUGCUGCGGUGAAUACGUUCCCGGGUCUUGUACACACCGCCCGUCACACCAUGGGAGUCGGAAAUGCCCGAAGCCGGUGACCCAACCAAAAGGAGGGAGCCGUCGAAGGCAGGUCUGAUAACUGGGGUGAAGUCGUAACAAGGUAGC